CAACUUCACUGCUAACUUUGCAACAUCAUUUCUUCGUCUGAGCAAUGAAUUUCGUCAGGACGUAGCAGUCAGGUGGCGUUAUGUUUGUGUAAUAGUUCUGGAUGGUAUCUGUGAUUUCAAAUCCAAAUUUCUUAUAAAAGUUGAUGGCAUCCUCAUUGUUUGUCUGCACAUGCAAGUAAAUCUCUGAAAUAUUUUGCUUGGAGCAGAGAUCAAGAACAUGAUUCAACAGCCUUGUACCAAUGCCUAACCCUCGGUAUGGCGCUAAAACACCUAGUGUCAUGAUGUAAACACGAACAGCCCCACCUUCCUUCUUCUCCAGCCGGCAUGCAAUUGCUCCGACACAGAUGUCACUGUAAUAUGCUAGUUUAGUGAAAUCCCCAGAAGCGAGGGCAUCGGCGUAAUACUUAUCGUUGUAGCGAACGGGGAAGAGCGCAGUAUUGAGCUUCUUGAGCUGCAUCACAUUCUUAUCCCUCACUCCGUCCAGGGAUAUCGAUACCUCACGCCCUGCCCCCAUUAUCUUCUUCUCUUUACUGUACCUAUGUGCCUGAGCUACAAAGUAUACAAAAGCUACUAAGCG
rnacentral:misc_RNA from 1 species